rnacentral:lncRNA from 1 species
AGGUCCUUGUUGUUUAUCUAUUUUAUUUAUUUUUAUAUCUUCGGGCUGCACCUGCGGCAUGUGGAAGUUCCCAUGCUAGGGGCUGAAUUGGAGCUGCAGGUGCUGGCCUACACCAUUGUCACAGCAAUGCCCAAUCUCAGCCAUGUCUGCAACCUACACCACAGCUCAUGGCAACACCAGAUCCUUAACCCACUGAGCGAGGCCAAGGAUCAACCUGAGUCCUUACUAGCUGUGUUAGUUUCUGCUGAGCCACAAUGGGAACUCCUUAGUUAUCUAUUUUAUAUAGAGUAGUGUGUAUCUGUUAAUCCCAAACUCCUAAUUUAGCCCUACCGCUUUCCCCUUUGGAAACCGUAAGUUAGUUUCUGUUUUGUCUGUAAGUUUUGCAUCCUUUUUUUAGAUUCCAUGUAUAAGUGAUAUCAUAUAUUUGUCUUUUUAUGGCUCAUUUCACUUAGUAUGAUAAUUUCUGGGUCCAUGUCACUGCAAAUGGCAUUAUUUCAUGCUUUUUAAAAAUGCUGAGUAGUAUUACAUUGUACUUAUGCUACAUCUUCUUUAUCUACUCCUCAGUUGGUGGACAUAUAGUUGCUUCCAUGUCUUGGCUUUUGUGAAUGGUGCUGCUAUGCACACUGGGGCACAUGCAUCUUGCAUCUUUUCAAAUUAUGGUUUUCUCCAGACCAGCUGCUAUUCUAGAAGGGAGAAGGGAGGAUGGACAAUUAUCCUGAGGACAUCCGAGAUGCCUUAGUCCCAUUCUCAGCACAGCUACUUCUCCCGUCACCCAUUCUCUUGGUUGAUUCUGGUCUGAAAAAUUUCCAAAUGUGGGUGUGUGUUGUGUUUCAGCUCCUGCCUUCCCAACAACCUUCCGUGCCCAAAGCUGUAGGUCCCAGGAUGUCCACUGCUGUUUAUCCAUUGUUUAUCCAUGUAAGAUUGAAAUGUCCCUCGUGUUCAACAGUAAAAAGCCCAUGACAUAAAGUGAUGGGGGAGCCAUGUGCCAGACUAUUAAGGCAUCACCAAAAUUCUGUCAAAACGAUACAGGACAUGUUCACUGUUUAUUGACAGUGCAGGGCUCACAGCCAUAAGUGUCUGUAGGAUGUGACAUGCAGGCGAGGGAAACAAUCUGCCGGGAGUAGCUGUGACCCACCUCUAGCUGAUUUUACCCUGAGACUCUGCGGGUCAGGUGUUGCCCAAUCAUCUGGCUUUUCCAGAAGUUGGAAAGCUGCCUUGGAAUGUGAUGUCUCUGGAUUUCAAAACGUUGGCAACUGAAUAGAUUUGCAAAACAUUCUCUGGACUAAGAUGCAUCUGCAGGCUGGAUCCUGUCAGAAGCCCCUGCCUAAUGAUCUCAAGUUACCAUAGCUCUGAGGAAGAUGAUGAUGGUGGCAAAUAACCCAGGACUGUCUACACCAGGGAUUGUUCUAAGUGCUUAUGUGCCUUGGCUCAUUUAUUUCUGAAGCCCACCCUCUCAGGUAGACAUUGUCACCCCCAUUUUGCAGAUGAGAAAACUGAGGCACAGAGAAGUGAAGUCAUUUGCCUCAGGUCACACAGCUAGUAAGUGUGAAGUCUGACUCCAGCGCCAGACAUUCCUAAUGCUGUUUCUAUGCCCCACUUUCUCUAUAGGCAGGGUGGCUCAAUUUUUGUUUAAACACACAUUCGCAGUCUGCCUGGAGAUACCACAAUAUGCUCACGGCUUAUUUUGUCUUUGGGUGAUGUUUAAAAAAAUCUAUGUUGAGGAGUUCCUGUUGUGGCUCACCAGCAACAAGCCCCAUUAGUAUCCAUGAGGAUGCGGGUUUGAUCCCUGGCCUCGCUCAGUGGGUUAAAGAUCCGGCAUUGCUGUGAGCUGUGGUGUAGGGCACAGACACGGCUCAGAUCUGGCUAUGGUGUAGGCCUGAAGCUGCAGCUCCGAUUCGACCCCUAGCCUGGGAACUUCCACAUGCCUCAGGUGUGGUCCUAAAAAAAAGCAAAAAAACAAAACAAAACAAAACAAAAAACAAACAAACAAAAAAACCCCCCAAAAACCCCAAAACACCAAAACCAAAACAAAACAAACAAAAAAAAACUAUGUUGAAACAUUUUUGUACACUGAACAUCUAUAAACCAGGUAAUAAUAAAAUAAUAAUAAAUAAUAAAGUAAUAAAUGUCAGCAAAGACCAAGGGUUUCAUUCUCUUCCUCUCGUUCCUGUUGCCUGGGGGACAUUCCCAUUUCCACUGCUUCCCAAAGCUACGCAGAUGCCCCUUGGGGGCCUCCCCAGAGGUGGGAUUCAGGUUACUGUACCAGCACCCAAGGCAGAAAACCAGCCUCGUGUAGGGACUUGGUCCAGCGUUGGGCUUUCCCCAAGACUGGAGACGAGGGAGUGAGAGAGGCACAAUGGGCAAAGGGAGGAUGCCUAACAAGGUGCAACUUCGGCAAAGCCCGGUGGGGGGCAGCCUCCGCCCAAUGCCAAGGGCACCAUGGCAUGCGAGUCACCCCCUGCCUAGGAAGGGACCUGGGCUGUCCCACACAGGCACUGACAGUCACCAGGUGAGGGCUGCCCAGGAGAAACUCUCAGGCAGUUCUGGCCCCUGCAGGUGCCGGGAGGGAGCCUCCAGCAGCCAAGGGCGAGGCUCCAGAGAAGAGACACAGAGGCUGGCAGGUAAAGGGGAAGGAAAACAUAAGAAGGCGAUUUUACUGGAUCUGAGCAGAGCACCAAUGUAGUCCAGUACAGACCUGGUUAAAGAUGGGAGAUGCUGGGAGGUACCGCAUCUCAAGGUCCAGGGUUGACUUGGUCUUCUCACUGUGUGACCUCAGACCAGCUUCUCAGCCUCUCUGAGCCCCAGGCUUCUCCCUCCCCUCACUGCCCCAGAGCUUUGUAAACUGUAAAUUUGACACAAAUGUAAGCUGUUUACUUUUCUCUGGGUUGAGAUUUUAUCUGUUUCAUGCCUUAGUUCUAUGUUUAAAUUGGAUGGGACUGUGUAUUGUAGUCCUUUGCCUGGGCUACCAUGACAAAAUAGAAGACUGGGGGCUUAAACAACAGAAAUACAUUUUCUCACAGUUCUGAAGGCUGGAAGUUGGUUUCUGGCUGGUUUUUAGAUGGCGUCUUCUAGCAGAGUUCUCUUUCCUAAGUACAGGGUGGAGGGAAGAGGGGGAGGGUGGAGGAAGGGGGAGGAGGGGGAGGGAAAGGGAGAGGAAGGGAGGAAGAGAGACAGGUAUCUGGUAUUGUCUCUUUUUCUUAUAAGGACACCAAUCCUACCGGAUUAGGGCCCCACCCUAAUGGGGCCCUAAUGACCUCAUUUAACUUAAUCACCCCUUGAAGGCCCCAUCUCCAAUACAGUCACGGUGCAGGUAAGGGCUUAAACCUGUACCAUGGUGGGGGGCAGACACAGUUCAGUCUGUGAUAUGUAGGUAAAAUGCUUGCAUAAUGUAUAGCAGAUGCUGCACAAAUGUUAAUUUCUCUCCCUGCUCCCAUGUUCCUCCCUUCAGCCUCCCUCCCCGCCUCUCCUCUCUCUUCUGACCAGUAUUACAUCCCAGGCCCUGCUCUGAGAUGCCGAACCAAACGGGAAGCAAGACAGACACAGUUUCUGCCUUCAUUUCCUCAGAAAAUAUCUGACCUUUCAUUCACGGUGAAACAAAAUCAAUACGCUCAAGAGGAGGCUUAAGAUCCCCAAAAUGCCAUGUUUGAAAUCAGAGCUGGUAAACCCAGGCCUAACAAACGGAUCUGCCUCAUGGCUCUGUUUUUGGGUGGUCCAGAUUAUGUUGAAACAUUUUUUAAAAUAAUGGCUAAUUUGAAAAUGGGAUUCCACUUAAAAAUGCUAAGUCCCAGCUUUUUUUUUUUAAAUUUCCCUAAUACAUUAUUUUUUUGAUUAUUAGAGAAAUGCAAAUCAAAACUACCUCACACCAGUCAGAAUGGCCAUCAUUAAUAAGUCCACAAAUAACAAGUGUUGGAGGGGCUGUGGAAAAAAGGGAACCCUCCUGCACUGUUGGUGGGAAUGUAAGUUGGUAUAACCACUAUGGAGAACAAUAUGGAGGUAACUUAGAAAACUAUACAUAGAACUACCAUAUGACCCAGCAACCCCAUUCUUGGGCAAAUAUCUGGACAGAACUUUCCUUGAAAAAGACACGUGCACCCGCAUGUUCAUUGCAGCACUAUUCACAAUAGCCAAGACAUGGAAACAACCCAAAUGUCCAUCAACAGAUGAUUGGAUUAGGAAGAUGUGGUC